rnacentral:rRNA from 1 species
UGGGGAAUUUUGGACAAUGGGGGAAACCCUGAUCCAGCCAUCCCGCGUGUGCGAUGAAGGCCUUCGGGUUGUAAAGCACUUUUGGAGGAAAGAAACGUCAUGGGUUAAUACCCCGUGAAACUGACGGUACCUGCAGAAUAAGCACCGGCUAACUACGUGCCAGCAGCCGCGGUAAUACGUAGGGUGCAAGCGUUAAUCGGAAUUACUGGGCGUAAAGCGUGCGCAGGCGGUUCGGAAAGAAAGAUGUGAAAUCCCAGAGCUCAACUUUGGAACUGCAUUUUUAACUACCGGGCUAGAGUGUGUCAGAGGGAGGUGGAAUUCCGCGUGUAGCAGUGAAAUGCGUAGAUAUGCGGAGGAACACCGAUGGCGAAGGCAGCCUCCUGGGAUAACACUGACGCUCAUGCACGAAAGCGUGGGGAGCAAACAGG